rnacentral:lncRNA from 1 species
GAGUGGCACAUAAGAAGGAUAAAAAUGGCUCCUGUGGUGUGAGGACCACAAAGCAGGUGCUCUCAUAUCUUUUUUGCCCCUCGCUGCUCCCCCCCCAAGGUCUCUCCGAGGACCCAACCCACUGCCCACCUUGUCCCGGUGCUUCUGGCUUUGGGGUGUGUAGCGCUCACUGUCUCCCAGCAUACCCGAAGCUACAAAGCAUAGAGGCUCAGGGAUGUUCCUUAUCUGGCUGUGCCUGGGAACUGACCCUGAGACUUUAUAAAGGGCAAAAGACAUACAGGGUCUGAAGAGAAUCAGUGAACGGGCUUUGAUGGUUGUUCUGCAGGUACGCUGGGGCCUCAGAAUCAGAAAGCUGGAGGUAGAGCGGAGAGGAGGGGCUGGCUUUGGAGAGGACCAUCAGAUCCCGGGAUUUCAUGGUGUUUGGGGUGGCUUGCUGGAAGUUUCCAGGCCCUGGCUCUGCCUAACUCCAGCCUCUUCUCAUCACCUCACGUGAAGAUCAGCUCCCCAUCAAGAGCUCCAAGCUGUUCAUUCAAGGUGGGGAGCCCUAAGCCCUAAGCAUAGCGGGGCCGGUAGGUAGCACUUGAGGACGCUAUAGUGCAUUCACAGGGUGUGAAAGUGUUUGCUUUCCCUCUGCAUCCUCUCUGUCUAGCCUCCCACACAGCAGCUGCCUUAUCUCAGGCUGCUUUCUGAUUAGAUUAGCAGCUGGAGAGAAGGUGGAGGUAGGAAAAUCAGCCUCUCCUAGCAGGCUAGGAGGCUGGCACUAGCAGUCAGGGCCUGUGGUUACUUUCUGUGAUCCUUUCCAGUCUUAGGGAGGAGCCUGCUGUAGCACCUAGCCUGGGGGCCAAUGAGCAGGUAGGUAGGGUCUCAGAGACCCUGGGCCCUGGGUGCUUUAAUGUGAAUAUUUAAGGCGACAACAGCUCCGUGGCUUCUGCCCCUCUUCCUGUGUUCCAGAACCUUAGUCAUUUGGGCUCUUGCUGUGCUUUGCAGUCGCCUGGUGUCCCCUCCUCUGACUCUCUGAGAGCGUGAGGUAACUGAGCUGUAAUACUGUAAAAAAAAGGGUUUGGGCGCAUGCUUUCCCUGCCAGCUCUGGCAAGGCAUGUAGGGUUCUGUAGCACCAGGUCAGGCCAUUCCUGUGUCCUUCACAGAUGUGUGUUUUGCAAAAUGGCAUUUUAAAAGUGUGAUUUGGAGCCCUAAGUAAAGGAAAAUUUAUAUACAC